rnacentral:rRNA from 1 species
GACGAACGCUGGCGGCGUGCUUAACACAUGCAAGUCGAGCGGAAAGGCCCUUUCGGGGGUACUCGAGUGGCGAACGGGUGAGUAACACGUGAGUAAUCUGCCCUUCACUUUGGGAUAACCCCCGGAAACGGGAGCUAAUACCGGAUAUGACCGGCAACCGCAUGGUUUGUUAGUGGAAACUUUGUGGGUGGGGGAUGUGCUCGCGGCCUAUCAGCUUGUUGGUGGGGUAAUGGCCUACCAAGGCUUUGACGGGUAGCCGGCCUGAGAGGGUGACGGGCCACACUGGGACUGAGACACGGCCCAGACUCCUACGGGAGGCAGCAGUGGAGAAUAUUGGACAAUGGGCGGAAGCCUGAUCCAGCAACGCCGCGUGAGGGAUGACGGCCUUCGGGUUGUAAACCUCUUUCAGCACCGACGAAGCGUGAGUGACGGUAGGUGCAGAAGAAGGACCGGCCAACUACGUGCCAGCCGCCGCAGUAAUAC